rnacentral:rRNA from 1 species
GUGCCAGCAGCCGCGGUAAUACGUAGGGUGCGAGCGUUGUCCGGAAUUACUGGGCGUAAAGAGCUCGUAGGCGGUUUGUCACGUCGUCUGUGAAAUCCUAGGGCUUAACCCUGGACGUGCAGGCGAUACGGGCUGACUUGAGUACUACAGGGGAGACUGGAAUUUCUGGUGUAGCGGUGGAAUGCACAGAUAUCAGGAAGAACACCGAUGGCGAAGGCAGGUCUCUGGGUAGUAACUGACGCUGAGGAGCGAAAGCAUGGGUAGCGAACAGGAUUAGAUACCCUGGUAGUCC